rnacentral:snoRNA from 1 species
CACUUGUUAGUAAGAUAUUUCUUACAAAAAUGUCUGAACAUAUGAACUCUAUGGUGAUUUCAGUGCAAUGCUGAGAUAAGCU